rnacentral:lncRNA from 1 species
GAAAAAGUAUCAUCAGGAGAAAAACAUCGAAUAAAGGAGAGAAGAAAAGAAAGUUGGAGUUCUGUUGAAGUCUCCAGUAGCAAUCUUUUGUUUCAUCACUCAAUUUAUUCAUUACAGGUUCUUAUUCAUCUUAUAUUUGUAUUUUUUUUUCACUUUUAGUGAAUCAAAAUAUGUUCAAGUUUAUGUUAAUGAGUUUAUUGGUUAACGUGUGAUGUUGUUUAUUUACUGUACUAAAUAAAAAAACUGUAGCAAUACAGAUUGAUAUAUGCACCAUCACAGUUCCAUGCACUGGCACACACUACACAGACUAAAAAACAUCAAUAAACGCACAUAAUCUUUCGUUUAUUUUAAUUCACUAAAUUCACAUACUCUUAUGUUUCUUGUAUUCACAACAAUUUACACGCACACAUCGGAAUAAUAAAAUCAAUAGAUAAAGGGUGAAACAGAGAAAGACGCGAGGAUAGAAAAUAAAACGAGAAAAAAAGUCAUGGAAAGACAAUGAAAAAAAGGAAAGGUGUGAUCGGAAAAAGAGGGAUGAACGGAAUCAGAGGAAAACAACUUUUUCCAGCAAAAUUUUGGCCAGAAUCACAAUCUUCACCGGGACUAAAUGGUUCCGGUGUCACCCACUCCCCUCUCCCAGACCCCGUCAUCCUAUUCUCCCCUCUCUGGUGUCAAAUCUGUCCAGAAUUAAUGCCACAACGACGACAACAUAUCCACCGGCGAACCAGCCUUGCCGCCGCGCCAUCCCACAUCCCUCUCCCUUUUCUCCAUCCUCAAAUAACUAAAAUCCAACUCUUAUGGUUGGUUCAGGCGAAUCAAAUCGCCGAAAAAACACCAUCAUCUCCGUUGGUUCUCUUCUCCACCAACCAAAUUCAAAACGCCGGCCACCAACUCCCACGCACUACUAUUUCAUUUUUUUGGGGUGGAACCGCUGCCAGUCGCGGUGAAUCGUCCAUCCCCGUCAGAAAAUCUCAAGAUCUAACUCUUUUUAUCAUAACUCUGUGAUAAAUAAAAAUUGGUUUUUGAAACUUUCUCAAUUCUAUUUGAUGUAGUGCUAUGUAUAUAAUUAAAAUAAGAGAUAGCAUUAAUAUUGGCAUCUUUAGCACAUUUUUCCAUCUGUAUUAUACCAAUUUUGUUUUACUGGAUUGUUCUAAGAAAUAUUAUUUAAAUUUAUUUUAAGAGAUUUUAAGUUUGCUCAUUUAUUAAUGAGAUUUUAAAUAUUCCAAAUAUUAUAAAAUUUAUUCUAUUUUCAAUUAGUGUUAAGUCAUCUUAAUUUGAUUUUAUUUAAUCCUUAGGCAUGUAGUAUUAUAAGAUUAAAAUAACUUGUCGUUGAUACAAAAAUGAGAAAAUAACGGAUAAAACAAAGUAAGUGUUUUUAACAAAUUGUUAUUAAUCCGUAAAUGAAUAUGUUAGUUACUUAAAAUAAAUGUCAAGAUAUAGUAUUAUACAUAUUUCACUAUGUCUAGUUUUAUUUUAUUCUAAUUUAUUAUCGAAAUUUGCAUGUAAAAGAAAAAUCUUAAUGUUUAUUACUUAUAUUUUUAUUUCAUAAAAUAUCAUUUACGAACCUUUGUUUUUGUGUUUAACCACAUUUAAAAUUUUCGUCUUAAUUAAGAAUGCAGCUUACGCAUCUUUUUGAGACAUUUUAAAAUUCAAGGAUGCUAUAAUGUACCUUGGCAUAUAUUUUUUAAAAAAUUAAUUUUCACACUAUUUAUUUAAUAUAAGAUAAUACACAAGUUUUUGAUAUAAUAAAAUAAGCGAAUCCAGGCCUAUUAACACAAUUUGUUCAAAUAGUUAAAAUCAAGUAUAAGUUGAUAAAAGCGACCGUGCUAGAACCAUGGGAUUCGAGGGGUGCCUCACACCUUCCCCUCGGUCAAUAGAAUUCCUUACCUAAUCUUCUUUUUUCGCAGACCAGAUAAGAGUCAUUUUCUUUUGAUUAGGGAUUUAAAAAGGUGACUUGGAACAACAUAACUCAAUUCCAAGUGGCGACUCUGAAAAUGAUAAAAAUAAUCCCUAUUCAAUAUUGUCACUUUAAUUGGAAAAACCCUUCUACUCGAAUCCUCCGAGCGAAAAAGGGGUGUGAUACCUUCAAGUUUGUAACCAAGAAAGAUCAUUAAUUUGAAGAGAAGAAUAUGCAAUUGCAAUUAUCUAAGGGAUUUGAGCAUUCUCACAACCCUAUCAACAAUUCACACCAUGACUCCCAUAACCCUAGUUAUGAGAGUUUUAACCACGCAUAAUAUAAGAGAAAUAUUCCAUUGUAAUUAUCAUAAAAAAUUUAGAAAUUACUUACAAAGAUACAAAGGAUUGUUCUUGAUCUUAAAUCAUAUGGUGAAUAAAAUGAAAACCCAAGAUAAAGAUCUUGUUCUCAGAGAAUUUUCAGUUACAAAAUGUUUCAGCAGCCAAAAGAUAUCUAAUCUAACCUUAAACUGAGUAUUUAUAGGUUUUCAGGUAAUGGGGAUUUAAAAUUCGAACUGCAGACUGUCGCGUCAUGGUUAACGGCCAAGGUGACAAUUCAUUACUGGCCUGACAGUCCGUCGCUUAGACCGUCAUUGGAUUCUCAGAUUUUGGUAUUUUGUUUAAGCUCCGAUGUUCAAGGUGACGGUCUGUCAUUGGACUGAUGGUCCGUCAACUUGUCUUUCACUUCAUCCUUGAAUUAGCUCCAUUUUGUUUAAGGCCGACGGAUAGAGUGACGGGUCAUCGCUGGCUUGAUGGCCUGUCACUAGGACCAUCGCAUAGAUCCUGAUUGACUUCUAUUCUACUUAACACUGACGAACACCGUGACAGACCAUCACAAGGUUGACAGUCCACCAGUUAGACCGUCAAACAUAUUUAGUUCACCCUUUUCCAAGUGAUUUAUUCUUUCAAUUCAAUUUCCUAAAAAUCAGUAAAACCCAGCAUCAAAUACCUCAAAAGUUGCUUAAAAACAUACAAUUAUCCCUUGUAAAAGAUGCAAAAUAUUUUAUCAAAUAUCGGAACAUCAAUACCCUCAACUUAAGACAAUUUCUUAUCUUCAAGCAACUCAACACCACAUCACAUGCAAGACUAAGAACAAUGACGGGUAGUAAAGAGUUGAACUAUGCGUUACACACCCACUUAAUUUUCACCUUACUCAUGAAUUCUCAACAUAUAAGGAUCCAUAAUUGGGACUAUUAUACAAUCUAACAUGUGCAUGUUCAUGGACACAACAUCCAAACAAAUUAGUAAUGACAAGUAUAGCCCAGAUUGCCCUCACAAUCAAAGAAGUCUACCACACUUUUUCAUUUAACCAGUGGACUAUCAAAUAAGACUCUCACUCUCACAAAAAAAGUUACAAACAUAGUACAUACACCCAUAAACUUGCUCUUAUCAUGUAAUGCCCCCUAUGGUUGACUUGCAAGGAUCAAACAAGACUUGCUAUGGCUUAUAAUGAUGCUUCAGUGAAAGGUGAGGAAUGAUUUUGAGAAAGUGACUUCAAGUUAAAAUUUCACCCUCUUUGCCCUAAUUUUCUACUCACCAUGACUAUUUAUUUUCUACAACCCUUACAAUCUAUACUACUCAUUCAGCAGCCCCUUUUUUUUAGGAGUUUACCUCAACCACUCUCAACUUUCGCUGAUGCUGUCAGUUGAGGUGCACAUUAUCUAACUAGAUCAGGGUCGGAUCAGACAUUUUAUUAUACUUCAAACCACUUUCAUCAAAUUGUCCACUUCCUAAUAGUAACCACCCUCAACUUAGGUAUUUUGCCUAAGUUAAGGUACACAAUAUCCAAUCUUGGAUCAGUGAUAAAAUCAGGUGCUAAAAUCCUAAAGAGAGAGAAUCCAAAUUAUUGGGGUUGAAUAAACAAUAACAAAAGCUCAAAAAGAGUCCAAAGGGAAAAAUUACAUCUCUUUUGUGUGGUUUUUAUGGCUGAGUAGACUAACUAUUGAAGGAGGCCUGCCGUCUUAUCCUAUUAGAUCAACCACAAAGUAACAAAAAUGAAUCGAGAAAGUUCUAGUUAUACACACUAUGCAAGAAUUAUAUCAAAAUACUUACACAUACUGACAAUUAGCUCAUACUUAUCCUACAGACUCUUGGAGUUACAUCACAUGAAUAUAUUUGCUCUAACUUAACACUCUAAUGCCAAUAACAGAUUCAUCAUGGUUGAUCAACAUAUAUUAAGUGACAAGAAAGAAUUUUCAUACACUACACAUUCACAGUUUUCCACCACAUUCAUCAUUCUUCCAUACACAUGAAAGGUACCAAACAAAAAAACAUAUUUGUAAUCAUGCAACAAGAUUUACAUCACGAUGAACAAUCGAAAAAUAAAUAACAACCUACACAUGAAGGUUCUACUAGAUAGCACAUGAGGGAAAAGAACACAAAUAAUAAAAAACCCCGUGGUGAUCAAAACACAACAAGUACCCACCCCCACUAAACACAUAUGCUUUUUCCUCAAUGCAUAAUCAUUAAAGUACAAGGGAGUAGAAUACUUGCAAAUCCCUUAGGAUUAUGAAUCGAUCAAGUCAGGUGAGGUUUUUCUGGCCUCGGAAGCAACAGCAGUGACCCCUUCAGUGGUCGGGGUACUCAAAAUAGCUUCCUCCUCAACAAAAGCGAUCACUAUCAAAACUGGCAUGGGCUUCCUUAUUGGGGAUGAACUGGUAGAAACUCUUGAUGCCUCGUCAGAAACUUUCUUCUUUCUUUUCUCCUUAUCUCUCUUCGAUCUUUUCACUAUUUUCCUUAAAAAACAAUUUUGGUAGUUUAUCUUUGCGCUUUGUCUUUCUUUUUGAUUUUGGGUCACCACUUUCAUCAAUAUUCUUACCUUUAUCUUUAAGUGGUAUGCCCAUGGGAUUAUGUAAUGACCCGGGACUACCCCCUAGUCAUCACACGGUGUUUAUAGGCCUGAGGGACCAAAAGUUAACCCAUGAGUUUGUACCUGUUGUGCGCAUUGAAUAAUAAUAUCAUAAUUUUAGAAAACAUCUAAUAUUUUCAUAAGGUUUUAUCAUUAAAUCAAUACUAAAAUAUGAAUCUAUAGAAAAACUGACUGAAUCUGAUUAAAUACUAAUAAACUGACAUGUCAACUGAACAUCCAAAUACUGAAUAACUGACUUUAAUGUCUGAAAAGCCUCUAAAACUGACUGACUAAAUAUGAGUUGAUGUGACAGGCCUCAACUAACUCUGUUGACUACUGAAAUAGAGAUAUGAAGUAAAAUAAUUUAUCCUCGAAUGAUGAGGACUCACCACUGCUACUAUACUGCUGAUAUCCUAAGGGAUGACGUCUAAGUGCGGUCUGGGAACUGAGCAUCAACACCUAUGAUAUGAUACAUUAUAGCGCAAAGAAAGGUAUGCGAUCAGUACUUUGAAUGUACUGGUAUGCUAAAUGAGGUACGUUGAUAUACAUGGUUUCAUAAACAGAACUAAUAAUUAAUUGAAUAUGCAUGUAAAACAUGGAGUACUAAGUAGAGAACAUAGAAUCUGUAAAUACUAAAAAUAUAUGGAGAAUUUGUAAAUAUCGAGUAUGCAUGACAGUCUAUAAAUACUGAAUAUACAUGAAAAUCUGUAGAUAUUGGGAAUGCAUGACCAAGCAUAUAACAUGGACUAAGUAAAAUCUAUAAACUAAAAUACUGAAAAAUAUGGAUAUAUGUGUAUGCUUUGGUCAAGCAACUCUAAGACUGCAUAACUAAACUGAGACUGUAACUGAGACUAUAUCUGAGACUGUGGGAGGUAUCAUUUAACCGACAUUCUCCAAUUUGAGCUAAUCAGGGUCCAACCUGUAACCCCAGUUGGAAGGGUGUUAAUAUCGUGACACGGGUACUAACGAUGGCUAUGUGGAUCUACUAAAUUGAUAUAAUAUCCAAAGGACUAAGGGUGUCAAGCCUGAACUGACGAGUGACCUCUAAAAGAUAGUCAAUCCUAAUCUAAUGGGUGACUUCUCAUAUCCUAUGCUGGCUACAUAGUUCUGGAGUAUAAGGACAGCUACUAACAACUCUGCCUAUCUGAUGGGGAAGUCUUCAUCCCUACACUCGCUCGGUGCUAAAUCCUACUCCCAACUGAAAGACACUGAAAUAAUAGAUUGUUCUUAGUUUAACUGACUGAUAUUUGACUAUUCUAAAAAUGCUCACAGCAUAAUCUAAAGUUAUUCUGUAAUAUACUGAGACUAGACUUAAAUAAACAGCUAUGGAUUUCAGGUAUUCAAUACCCCCAGGACUCAAAAUAAUUAUUGUAAAAUGACACUAAAACUUGGAGAUCAAAACAUAAAGGCUCUUAUUAAAUAAAUCACUCUUGUAGGCAUUUUAUCAAACACUUGUAGUUCAUGGUUUAAAACAAUCAUAGGAAUUUCAUGGAUCUUGUAGGAAUAGCAUGAAUUCAUCAUAAUAGAAUUAAUUUAUGGUUUAAUUCAAUAAGUAUUAAUGUUAAAACAUGGAGGACUGAAUAAUAACAUAUUUCAUGGUAACAUGGUAUAAAAUCAAUAGUACAUGGAGAUUCAUGGAUGAAAUCAUAAUUUAAAAUACAAUAACUUGAAAAGAUCAAAACUUGUAAAUUAAAUAGGUUACUUGGACUCCAUGGACUAAAGGAAUCCAUGGAUGAACAUCUAACAUACCUUAAUGGAUGAAUUUCUUGAAGUUCUUGGUGAGUUCUUGAGUAUUGACCUUGAAUUUGAAAGCUAAGGUUCUUGAUUGGGAGAGUAUCUUCUUUGAUUUAGGGGAAAAGUUUUUAAAAUAAUGAAAUAAUAGGUUAAUUAGGGUGGGGGGAAAAGACUGUAAUGCCCUCAGAUUUAAAACUCAAAAUUAUUAAAAAACUCUUAAUUUUGUGAGCUGGUGCGAUGCGGUGCUAUCGCGUCAUGUCACUAGAAUUAGACAACAGGAAACUAAGGACCUGCCGUGAUGCGGAGGAAUAACGGUGCCCUUUUGAUUCUGAAACUCACCCUUGGCGCGAUGCAUCAUUAUCGCAACAGGACACUAGAAAAGUACAAUUAGGAUUUUGGUUGACGGUACGAUGCAGUGGUUUUGCAAAGAUUUACUGGAAAUUGAAAAUUGUCAUUUAUGCUGGCUCUGUGACGCGCUAAGGGUUAAAAUGAUGGUGCUUAAAGACUGAAACUUAAAAUUGCCAUAACUUCUUACUAGAUUAUCGAAUUUAGGCAAAUUUUAUAUCAUUGGAAAGCUAACUGAAUUUCCUACUCAAUGGAAGGCUCUAAACUAAAAAAUAAUGAGUGUUUCAAAAAUUUUAUAUAUGAAUACUCAUGUAUUUAGACUUAGAUUAUGCUAGGAAAAUAUAGGGCAUUACAGAUCAACAAGGCUUUCUUCAUCAUCACUUAUCACCAAUGUAGGAUCAAAUGCCAGUAAUGGUGGUUGUUUUUCAGCUCAGCAAUGUCAACUUAUGCCUGUUUAAAAUCUUCCACAAACUUUCCAAAGUCUAGAAUUGAUAACUCAUUCAAUCGGUUAUUUGCAUAUUCCUCCAUGCCAUCCCUUCUAGUAUAAAUAUUCUCAUAAGGCUUGAGGGCUUCAGCAAUAAUCUAGUCAACAAAAGGUUUGAACUCUUUCGCCCAAGCAUGUAACUAUCUCUCAAACUUUUUCUAAGCUUUCACAAUCUUUGAAAAGUUUUCUUGUGUCAUCCUGUAUUCCGAAUACCUUGGUGGGACAGAUGCAGUGUCAGAAGUCUCUCCCAUCGGAGGCAUCAAUCUAAAACCUAUAAAAGUACCUGGCGGCACAUAAUCUGGUGGUACAUAAGUGGUCAAUGGUAAUGGCAUACCUGGGGGCACCCUUGCUGGUGCAGACUGUGACUCAUAUGCAGACGGCUUAUGGACUCGCAUCUCAUACAUUGAAUUAUCCCUUAUUCGUUCAAUAACCUUUAUCUUUCUUGUUUAAACUUCAUUAUCAACUCCCCUAAGUAAGGGCACAUUAGCCUGUCUGCAUAAUUUUGUAAUCAAGCAUGGGAAUGGAAAUAUGCUCUCCAUCUUGUGAGCGCAAACAAACAACUCAUCAAUAAUGAUAUAGCCAAAGUCAAUCUUCAGCCCCUCAAUCAUACUAGCUACAAGUAUUGCCCGUUGGUGGUCUAGGUUUGUAUCCCCUCCAGUCAAAAUUAGUUUCAAUCUCACAAUAGUCCACCAGAACUUUACUCUAAAGCUUAGGGAUGAUUUAUCAAUUUUGUCCUUGGUAUGCGCCCAUGACAGGUUACCAUCAUCAGUAAGGACCCUAGCCAACCAAGGCCUUUGGUCAGAGGUAGAAAAUAUGCGAUGCUUAAGAUUCGGAGUGAUAGCUAGUGACUCAUAAUUAGGACAGAAUAAUAUUUUGUUCAACAUGAGAUCAGAGAUGUCAAUUAUUACCCCUCUUAGAGGAACUUGAGUCCUAUUUCUCAUGUCUACUAAUCGGCUACCCUUGGGAUAAUCUUUUUCCAGCAAUGCCAAGUAAUUAGCAUAAAAAUCCCAUACAAGAUUAGGGUAGUACGAUCUGGAAAGUUUGCUCAACCAGGCCAGCUUGUACUCAUUAAACCCCCUUUCAAGAUCCAGAUACUCAUCAAGCACAGAAGUGACUAUCUGGUAUUCUUCUGAGAUGGGUCACUUCAUUGGUCCAUUCUAUACUGGCUUAAUCCCAUCAUAGAAGUGUUUCCAUGCACCCUUAAUCUUCCACCACACUUAUGGCUCUUUAUUUUUUAUCACAUUAGCAUCCUCAAGUUCCAAUGCCUCAACUUGGUCGGGGUUUGAUGUGUUAACCCCUUCCUCAUUGGGGUUGGAACUAGUGAUGUUGUUGCUCUCGCUCUUACUCUUUUCCUCAAAAUGGGAGAGUAUUUGAGUCUUUUUAUCAUGUUGACAAGUGUUAAAGACAGGUGCCUCUUCACCUCAUUCCUGUUCUCCUCUGCCUCAUGACUAUUGAGGCCUGCCACCACCUCUACGUGAGGGUAAUUUCUAUGUUAUUAUUCCUGAAUAAAGAAUAAAUAAUCAACUACUAAUUAGGAUCAGGAAUAAAUCAAUUGUUAUUUUGAAUUGACGGAUAGGCUGACGGUCCAUCAGACUGCUGACGGCCCAUCGCACUGUCCAUAAAGGCUUACCCAGAUAAAUAAAAACUCAGUAGUUUAGUGAUGGUUGAUUUGAUGGUCUGUCAGUUGGUUGACGGCCCAUCACUCUAUCUAUUACUUCUUAAAUAGAAAGUAGUUCCUGGUCAUUUGUGGUGACAACCUUUUGGGUGAACCAUCACUGGAUUGAUGGUCCAUCACAUUGGAUGUCAGCUAUACUUUUACAGCUUCACUUCUCUUUUUGGCAUUUUUUUCGAACGCCUCUAUUCAUGCAAAUAACUCUAUAUUCAAGCAGAUUUUAAUUGAUGGCCCAUCACUUUGUCCGUUACUGCUUAAAUAGAAAGUAGUUCCUGUUAUUUGUGGGGAUGGCCUUUUAGGUGGACUGUCACUGGAUUGAUGGUCAGUCACUUUAGCUGUCAGCCAUACUUUAAAAGCUUCACUUCUUUUUGGGUAUUUGGUCGAACACCUGGUGUACAUAAGAGUUGUAAUUGCAAUAUUCAUGCAAAUGACUUUAUAUUCAAGCAGAUUUUGAACAUUUUUGUUGAGUAUGAAUUACUCAGACUUCACCCACAACAACUUACACCAAUGUUUGACUUCAACAAUAUAGACAAUGACUAUUACUACUAAAAGUACUCAAACUCACAUUGCAGCAUGCUUCGACAAUUAAAAUAAGAAAAUAAUAGUUUAGAUCAUAUCUUUUUUGUCGAUGUGUUCUUCACCUAGUUGGAAAUUCGGGACUUAGGAACUGCUAAAACUUAUUGCUGGCUUUCAAAAGUGAGAUUUUAACUUAUGACGUUAAUAAGAAUGACAAUGAUGGGGGUGUUUAAAUAAGUGAUAAAAAGAAGAUGAAGAGUCCUGAUAAGAGAUGAAUGUGAUUUAAGACAAUUAAUGCAGAAGAAUUUAAAUGGUUUCAGGAGUUAAAAAUAUGGGAACGUGCAUGAAACUGCUUCCCCUUAUCCAUUUAAUAAACCUUUGGUUCGGUUCAAAAUAAAAAACAAUCCACAAACUUUAGUUGACCCGACCCAUCACUUUAAAGAAAAACUAGGGUUUAACUAAUGGUGACCCUGACGGUCUGUUAGAUACUACGUCAGACCUUACUAGAACAUCAUUUUAUCAGCCUUAUCUUGAUGGUAAGUGUGAUGGUCCGUCAAGGUGUUAAAGAUCCAUCAUACUUUCUGUCACUUCUUAUCCAGUAACUCAAAUUUAUGUUUCCAUGUUGACAGUAUAGAUGAUGGCCCGUCAAGGAUGUAACGGUACAUCGCUUUUGCCAUCAAGCUUUAUCCAAAUUGGAUAAUUUUUUACCCAUGAUCGCGAUGCCCUCAACGGUGGCUCAUCAAAUGGCUAAUGGUCCAUCAGUCUUUCCAUCGCAAUGCUCCAAUUUGUUCAAUUCUUGUUUCCCUGAACAUUAUUCCUGCACACUUAACAACCCAUCAAUUGUGCAUUGAAAAAUAACUAAUUCUAACCAAAAUUACAAUAGCACAUUGUGGGUUGCCUCCCUCUAGCGCCUGAUUUAGAGUCGCGACAUGACUCAGUUUACUUGAUUACUCAGACUUCAUCAAGAUAAACUAUGCUUAAGCAUUUCACCGAGUCUAGCUCAAAUGAGUGACCCACUAUAGAAAAGUCAUCCACGAAUACUUCUAGAGUGUCCUCCACCAUAUUCGAGAAAAUUGACAUCAUGCACCUUUGGAACGUGGCCAGUACAUUGAACAAUCCGAAUGGCAUUCGCUUGAAUGCAAAUGUUCUAUAUGGGCAUGUAAAUGAUGUUUUCUCUUGAUCUUCCUGGGCAAUCAAGAUCUAAUUAUAUCCUGAGUACCCAUCUAAAAAAUAGUACCAACCCCUUCCUACCAAGAGAUCAAGCAUUUUAUCCAUUAAAGGCAUUGGGAAGUGAUCUUUUAGCAUCCACGAGUUCAGCUUCUGGUAGUCCAUGCAAACUCACCACCCGGUCACUAGCCUAAGAGAAAUUAACUCAUUCUUUUCAUUUGCAACCACAAUUAUGCCUUCUUUCUUAGGCACGCACUGUACUGGACUCACCCACUUAUUGUCGGGGAUUGGAUACACAACCCCUGUGCGGAGCCACUUUAUAAUCUCCUUUUUCACCACUUCUUGCAUUGGUGGGUUUAUCCUGUACUGAUGCUUAAUAGUCGGUAUACAUUCUUCCUCUAGCUGGAUUUUGUAUGUGCAGAUACCCGGUGAAAUACCUAUAAUAUCCACAAUAGUCCAUCUGAUAGCCCUCUUGUAUGUCCUAAGCAUAAAAAUAAGGGCCUCAACCUACUGCUCUACCAAAUCUAUUGCAAUAAUAACUGGUAACAUAUUUCCAAAGCCUAGAAACAUAUACCACAAAUGGCCCGAUAGCUCUUUCAGUUCCAACACUGGGGCAUCCUCAAAAAAUGGUUUGGCCGGUGGUGUGGAUGAUUUUUGAGGUCCAAUUCCAGUUUCUUGGGAGCAUAAGAUUAUGACCCUAUUCCUGUCAGUGCAUACAUAGUUUUAUCAUAUUCUUUGACUCCUUCACUAACAAAGUUCAUCAAUACCGCAACCAAUGUCUCCAUAGCAAAUCUCUCCUCAACCGGUACCUCUUACUCAUCUUUAUAAUAUAUAUCAAGGAUAAAGAACACACUCAUCUCCCUUUGCUACUUCAUCAAUUGGCAAACAUCAAAAUUGAUCACUUCAUUAUAGAGCCUAAAUUUUAGUUCAUUGGUUUGCAAGUCAACCAAUACACUCUUGGUUGCUAAGAAAGGUCUACCCAAGAUUAUGGGUACCUCGAAGUCUACCUCAUAAUCCAGGAUUACAAAGUUUACUAGAAAAAUAAAAUUGUACACUUUCACAAGCACAUCAUAGAGGAUCCCAACUGGCCUUUUAACCGAUCUAUCUGCCGUCAAAAGCCAUAUGUUAGUGGGUGUAGGAUCUCCCAAACCCAUCUUUUUAAAAACCGCCAAUGGUAUCAGAUUUAUACUUACCAGGCCUUCACAAAAUUAGGUAACCUAAUAGUACAUGGGAUAAUGAAUGCUCCUGGGUCUGCUUUCUUUUGCACUAAGGAUUUUGUAGAAAUAUCACUACAAUGGUGGAGAUUCUCUACCGAUUCAUAGCUCACAGUCUGCUUCUUAGUCACCAGAUCCUUCAUAAAUUUAGCAUAGCUUAGCAUUUGUUCUAAUGCCUCACCCCGAGGCACAUUUACCGUCAGCUGCUUCAGCAUGGCCAUGAACUUGCUAAAUUUAGAGCCAUCUACCUUCUUCUGUAAUCUGUGUGGAAACGAAGGAGGUAGUUUUAGCAUCCUAGUAACCGUUGUAUCUCCUUCCUUCCCUUUGACUUUCUCCAACUUAUCAACCUGCUUCUGAUUGGAUAGAACCUCCUGAUUUUCCAGCUUUUUAGACUCUACUAGAUAUUCUUCUUCUAUUUCUACAUUUAACUCCACCCCAUAUCUACAAUAUCUUUGCCCACACAAGGACCGGGUAACACUUUACCACUUGUAGUGGUAAUAGCCAUGCAUGAGUUGUCAUUUCUUAGAUUCUGCACAGAAUCACUUGGCAGUGUUCCACUCUUUCUCUGAUUGAAUGCUACUAAUAGCUGAUUCAUUUGCUGCUCCAUUUGCUCAAUAGAAGUCGAAUGUGAAUCAACUAGUUAACUCAUAGAUGAUAGAUCAUUCUUUAUCUCCCUUACUCCAGCUUGAGUCGACUCUACCCUUUUCAAUAACUUAGCCAUCAUGUCCACCAUAGACAUUUUACCAAAACUAUUAGCAGAAGUGUCACAGUUUCCAAGAGGUACAUACAAUCCACUCCUAUCAUUCUUAUUUUUCCAGCCACCCUAAUCACGUUCUCUAUAACCAUCUUUGUCAUAGUAGUUCCAACCUUGAUUUUCUUUGCUAUUGCCUUGGAAACCCCCAUGGUUAUUUAAGUAGUUCACCUCUUCAUUAGAAUUUGAUUCAGCUCUUCUACUUUAUGAUCCUAUAACUUUCACUUUCUCUAUCUUCCCGAAUAACAAAUGCUUUGUGAGCAAGUCCAUCUGGUUUUUCAUAUGCGUCAUAUCCUGAUCACACUCCUCUUCUCUCCUAAAUUGCUCUACAGAUAUUCUACUAGACACAGUAGUGUUUGCUUCCUCAGAAUCCCUGGUAUGCCAAGCUCUGCUCUAUUUAGUCAUUCUUUCAAGCAUUUUCGCAGCUUUCGAGAAAGUAGGAUCCAUAAAUGCUCCCCUAGAUCCAUAAAUACUCUUAUUGUAGCAUUAUCUAUAGGUUUUUUUGUAAUAAAAUUCAAAGCCCUAUAGAAGGUCUCCAUCAAAUGCUCAUCAAUCAUCUUGUUAUUAGGGCAUUGCAUCAACUUCUUCUUGAAUCUUACCCAAGUCUCAUGAAGUGCUUCAUUCAGAAGCUGUCUGAAAUUACUGAUUUUGUCCCUUAACUGUAACAUCUUGGAGGGCAGAAAAACCUUUCUAGGAAAGAUCUUUUCAAUUGCCUCCAGUUUGUUAUAAAAUUAAGAGCCAACUCAUUCAGCCACAGUGUUUUCUCCCCAGACAAAGACAAUGGGAAUAGCUGCAGAUGGAUUACAUUCUCCCCAACUCCCAGAUUAUCAAAAACUUGCAGAUAGUGAUAAAGUUGACUAGAUGCACACUUGGAUCAUCCCUAGGAAGUCCACCAAAUAGCCCCUUGAGAUGAAGUAAGUGAAUCAUAGUGCGUAAUAUUGAACUUCACUCUCGGUGCCAAUGGUGGUGGAUAAUCUCUCCAGUAGCGCUAACUCUAUCUAAAUUAGGCACAUCACCGUCAUCAAGAUCAAACUGCACAGCUUGGUAGUUUGGUCUCUCUCUAAAUGGCUGGUUUUGAUUUACUGGUGCAGCUUUAUCCUCUGCACGUCUCCUAUUUUUUGGAUUAAUCAAGUCAUCGUCCCCCAGGUCCUCAUCAUCUUCAUUAGCUACCCGACCUAGGUUAUCCAUAUUUUGUUGAUUGAGUUGUGCAUUAGCCAAAGUGGAUAAUCUUUCGACUUUUUGGUGAGCAUCUAUUUUUUUAAUUAAUUGAGGUUCUGGGUGAAGAGGAAAUAGUGGUUCUAUUGUCCUCCUUAUUAGUGGCAUACAAAGUAAAAACCCUGUAAUGAACAAAAACAACAAAAAAAAGUAAAAUUAGGAAACUUGACCAAAGAUCAAUUAUUUUAAAUCCAAAGUUAACAAUUUCAAUUUCAAGGUUAAUUGAACUCUAUAGUCUGUCUAUUUAUUUCUCAGCCUUAAUAGAUAGCUACACUUUAAUUCUUUCAAAUUAAAGAGUGUUAUGAAAUAUUCAAUUGAAUCCUGAAGUGGGUUAAUCCUGCUAAGGUAUCAACCUGUAACCCAAAGGUUAAAGCCUUUGAAUUUUUUGUAAUUCUUCUCUUUUCCCAACACCAACCUUUUUUACUCAAACAAAUGGUGUUCAUGGGCACACCCUUCAAGUUUGCAACCGAGAAGGAUCAUUAAUUUGAAGAGAAGAAUAUGCAAUUGCAAUUAUCUAAGAGAUUUGAGCAUUCACACAACCCUAUCAACAAUUCACACCAUGGCUCCCAUAACCCUAGUUAUGGGAGUUUUAGCCACAUAUAAUAUAAGAGAAAGAUUACAUUGUAAGUAUCAUAAAUAAUUUAGAAAUUACUUACAAAGAUACAAAGGAUUGUUCUUGAUCUUAAAUUAUAUGGUGAAUAAAAUAAAAACCCAAGAUAAAGAUCUUAUUCUUAGAGAAUUUUCAGUUACAAAAUGUUUCAGCAGCCAAAAGAUAUCUAAUAUAACCCUAAACUAAGUAUUUAUAGGUUUUCAAGUAAUAAGGAUUUAAAAUUCGAACUGCAGAUUAUCGCGUCAUGGUUGAUGGCCAAGGUGAUGGUUUGUCGCUGGCAGGAUGGUCCGUUGCUUGGACCGCCACUUAGACUCUCAAACUUUAGUAUUCUAUUUAAGCUUCGAUGAUCAAGGUGACGAUUCAUCACUAGACUGAUGGUCCGUCAACUUGUCCAUCACUUUAUCCUUGAAUCAUCUUUAUUUUGUUUAAGGCCGACGAACAGAGUGAUGGGACGUCACUGGCUUGACGGUCUGUCACUAGGACCGUCAUAUCGAUCCUUAUUGACUUAUGUUCUACUUAACACUAACGGACACCUUGAUGGUCCAUCACAAGGUUGACGGUCCAUUAGUUAGACUGCCAAACAUAUUUAGUUCACGUUUUUCCAAGUGUUUUCUUCUUCCAAGUUAAUUUCCUGAAAACCAAUAAAAUCCAGCAUCAAAUACCUCAAAAGUUGCUUUAAAACAUACAAUUAUUCCUUGUAAAAAAUGCAAAAUAUUUUGUCAAAGGCCGGAACAUCAGAUGGUGAAAGCAAUAAGAAUUGAUCAAUUUCAAUCGUAUUAUAAUAAGAUUUAUAAUACCCCAUAUUAGUCUUAGCUUAGUUCAGCUCUUAGUGUAUGCAUAAGAGGCUUAGAACCUAAAAAUUUAGCUAAGUAUUGGGGACUUAGUUUUAUUUUUGGCCUCUUAACUCCGAUGAUCUUUAAAGUGACAUUUCUGACCGCGUGACGUAAGUUUUUGAGUUAGUUCAUGUUCAGGGGUGUAAGAAGCAUAUCUCUGGUAAGUUUCAUAUAUUUUGGACAAGGAUUGAGGCAUGUUUAGAUUUUGUUUAUAGUAGCUCAUCGUGAUUGCACCGCAUCAUAGUGGGUAUAGCGAUGAAAGGUUCAUCGCAUCGCGGAAAGGCCUCAAUCAGCGUUCCAGUUAUGAAUUUAAAUCUCAGAGGGGUAGUCUUGUCUUUUCCCAUCACCCCAAUCCAUAAAAACACAUAAUUAACCUUCAGUUAAGGCAUUAUAUGCCCAAAUUCCUUAAAUUCUCUCUAAAUUAAAACCAAAUCCUUUCCCCAAGUUCAUGUAUCUUCCCUACAAGAAAAACCAAGAAAUUGUUCUUCCUAAUCCAAGAACGUUCAAGACAAGUUAAUUCUCCUUCAAUUAAAGUUUUAAGGUAUGUUUGAUGUUCAUCUAUGGGCCCUUUUCACCUAUGAAGUCCAAGAAUCUGUUUAAGUUUCAAAUUAUGGUUUUUAUAUGUUAUUAUGAAUUUUAUCCAUGAAGCUCAUAAGAACUUUGAUUUUGAACUAUGUUUACCAUGUGAUUUCGUUGCAAUUGACCCUUGACACGUUUGAAUGUUGAUUAUUUGCAUGUUGAAUCCUUAACCCAUAAUUUUGAUAUUGCAAUUAUGCUAUUAUUGCAUGUUUUUAACUCAUAACCCAUAUAUGUUCAAUGAAAUGCCUAAGAGAUGAAUUUUUAACAAUGAUCACUAUUAUGAUUUGUUAAGCUAUAUAAGUCCUUAUUGAUACUUCUAUUCAGUGUUGGGGGUUAUGAAUACCUGAAAACUCAGUUUUUUACUUAGUCCCAGUAUCUUUCAAAAUAGUUUCAAACAUGUAUGAGCAUUAUUCACUAAGUCAGUUAUCAUAGUCAGUUAAACUUAGAUCAGUUUAGUAAUUCGAGUCAGUUCAGGUUGGAGUAGGAUUUAGCACCGAGCGAACCUAGGGAUGGGGGCUCACCUAUCAGUAGAGGGUGUGACUCUUAGUAGCAAUAUCUGCGUUCCAGAGCUACGUAAUCAGCGUAGGUUUAAGAUAUUAACCUGAUAGUUGAGGGUUGACACAUAUCUCACCAGGGCACCUGCCAGUAAAGUGUGACCCUUUAGCCCUUCGAGACUCACUUUAGUCAAUCCACACAGCCAUUGUUAGUACCUGUAGCACGGUACUGACACCCUUCCAACUGGGGUCAUAGGUUGGACCCCAAUUAGCAUAGAUUGGGGCAUGUCGGUCAGAUGAUAACUCCUACAGUCUCAGUCCAGUAUUCAGUAUAUAAUCCAGUUUUAGGUUUGUUUGACCAUAGCAUAUAGUUAUCAGCUAUUCAGUUAUCAGGAUUUCAAUACUUCAAUUUACAGAUCAUUUCAGAACAUAUUUUAUACUUGGUCAUGCAUUCUCAGAUUUUACGGUCUUCAUGUAUUUAUAUUCAGUUAUUCCAUGUUAUUCAUUCAGUCAGUUAUCACGCAUGCACAUGAAACCAUGCAUAUUAGUCUAUCCUCAUCUCUCAUACCAGUACAUUUAAAGUACUGAUCACAUACUCUUUUCUUGUGCUAUGAUAUUUAAUAUCAGAGGUUCGGACGCUCAGGCUCCAGACCGUGCAUAGAUAGUUCAGUCUAUCAGCAGUAGUAGUCAUGAUGAGUCCUCAUCUGUCGAGGACACGGUGGUUUAUUUCUGCUUAUUUCAGUAUUUUAGUACUUUCUUUUAGUUUGUCAGUUGGAGUUAGUUGGGGCCUGUCCCAUCAACUCUUUUCAGUCAAUUUUAGAGGCUUUCAGACAUUUCAGACAGUCAGUUGAUUUGUUAAUCUUUUUAGUCAGAUUUUCAGUAUGUUCGUUUAUACUUCAGACUUGAGUAUUCAGUUGUAUUAAUUUCAGUACUUAAACCUUAUGGCACCAUCAGUUAUUUAUGUG